rnacentral:rRNA from 1 species
UCCCUAGUACGGCGAGUGAAGCGGGAAGAGCUCAAAUUUAAAAUCUGGCAGGCUACGCUUGUCCGAAUUGUAAUCUCGAGAAGUGUUUUCCGCGUUGGCCUGUGUACAAGUCCCUUGGAACAGGGCGUCAUAGAGGGUGAGAAUCCCGUCCUUGACACAGACACCCAAUGCUUUGUGAUACACUCUCAAUGAGUCGAGUUGUUUGGGAAUGCAGCUCAAAAUGGGUGGUAAAUUCCAUCUAAAGCUAAAUACUGGCGAGAGACCGAUAGCGAACAAGUACCGUGAGGGAAAGAUGAAAAGCACUUUGGAAAGAGAGUCAAACAGUACGUGAAAUUGUUGAAAGGGAAACGAUUGAAGUCAGUCGUGCCUGCCUAGAUUCAGCCUUCUGGUGUAUUUCUAGGUCGGCAGGUCAGCAUCAGUUUGGGGGGGUUAACAAGGGAGCUGGGAAUGUGGCAACCUCGGUUGUGUUAUAGCCCAGUUUCGCAUUGAUCUCGCUGGACUGAGGAACGCAGUGCGCCCGCAAGGGUUGGUCUUCGGACACAUUCGCACUUAGGAUGCUGGCAUAAUGGCUUUAAACGACCCGUCUUGAACACGGGACCA